rnacentral:rRNA from 1 species
UACGAAGGGGGCUAGCGUUGUUCGGAUUUACUGGGCGUAAAGCGCACGUAGGCGGAUUGUUAAGUGAGGGGUGAAAUCCCAGGGCUCAACCCUGGAACUGCCUUUCAUACUGGCAAUCUCGAGUCCGGAAGAGGUGAGUGGAACUCCUAGUGUAGAGGUGGAAUUCGUAGAUAUUAGGAAGAACACCAGUGGCGAAGGCGGCUCACUGGUCCGGUACUGACGCUGAGGUGCGAAAGCGUGGGGAGCAAACAGGG